AGAGUUUGAUCAUGGCUCAGGAUAAACGCUGGCGGCGCACAUAAGACAUGCAAGUCGAACGAACUUAACCAUUAGUUUACUAUUGGAGCGGUUAGUGGCGGACUGGUGAGUAACACGUAAGCAACCUGCCUAUCAGAGGGGAACAACAGUUAGAAAUGACUGCUAAUACCGCAUAUGCCUUAGAAUCACAUGGUUCGAAAGGGAAAGGAGCAAUCCGCUGAUAGAUGGGCUUGCGUCUGAUUAGCUAGUUGGUGGGGUAAUGGCCUACCAAGGCGACGAUCAGUAGCCGAACUGAGAGGUUGAACGGCCACAUUGGGACUGAGAUACGGCCCAGACUCCUACGGGAGGCAGCAGUCGGGAAUAUUGCGCAAUGGAGGAAACUCUGACGCAGUGACGCCGCGUGCAGGAAGAAGGUUUUCGGAUUGUAACUGCUUUAGACAGGAAGAACAAGACAGUACCUGUAGAAUA
rnacentral:rRNA from 1 species